GGGAGCAAACAGGAUUAGAUACCCUGGUAGUCCACGCCGUAAACGAUGUCGACUUGGAGGGUGUGGCUUCCGGAGCUAACGCGUUAAGUCGACCGCCUGGGGAGUACGGCCGCAAGGUUAAACUCAAAUGAAUUGACGGGGGCCCGCACAAGCGGUGGGCAGUGGUUUAAUUCGAUGCAACGCGAAGAACUUACCUGGUCUUGACAUCCAGGUGCUGCAUGGCUGUCGUCAGCUCGUGUUGUGAAAUGUUGGGUUAAGUCCCGCAACGAGCGCAACCCUUAUCCUUUGUUGCAACUCAAAGGAGACUGCCAGUGAUAAACUGGAGGAAGGUGGGGAUGACGUCAAGUCAUCAUGGCCCUUACGACCAGGGCUACACACGUGCUACAAUGGCGCAUACAAAGAGAAGCGACCUCGCGAGAGCAAGCGGACCUCAUAAAGUGCGUCGUAGUCCGGAUUGGAGUCUGCAACUCGACUCCAUGAAGUCGGAAUCGCUAGUAAUCGUGGAUCAGAUGCCACGGUGAAUACGUUCCCGGGCCUUGUACACACCGCCCGUCACACCAUGGGAGUGGGUUGCAAAAGAAGUAGGUUACCACUUUGUGAUUCAUGAC
rnacentral:rRNA from 1 species